rnacentral:rRNA from 1 species
AGAGUUUGAUCCUGGCUCAGAGUGAACGCUGGCGGCGUGCUUAACACAUGCAAGUCGAACGGACUUAAUGAGCUUGCUUAUUAAGUUAGUGGCGCACGGGUGAGUAAUAUAUAGCUAACCUGCCCUUUAGUGGGGGACAACAGUUGGAAACGACUGCUAAUACCCCAUACUCCUUCUGAUCUUAAGAUCAGUUGGGAAAGAUUUAUCGCUAAAGGAUGGGGCUUUAUUGUAUCAGCUAGUUGGUGGGGUAAUGGCCUACCAAGGCUAUGACGCAUACCUGGUCUGAGAGGAUGAUCAGGCACACUGGAACUGAGACACGGUCCAGACUCCUACGGGAGGCAGCAGUGGGGAAUAUUGCACAAUGGAGGAAACUCUGAUGCAGCAACGCCGCGUGGAGGAUGACGCAUU